AGGUGCUUCACCAACAUCCUAUAAUGUCUAUACCAUCAUCUUCUAAUGCUGUGUCAUCAACUCUUUCCGGUCAUUCUCUGUUUCCACUGUUGAAUUCAGUUUUGCAGACAAAUAUUCUUCAGAGGGAUACUAUUCUUACUCUAAUGAAGCAAGUUUGUGGUUGCGACAAUUCAGCCAACCGCGCCACUGAUGGAGGAUCCACACUGGCACAAUUAGGUUCCACAGGGAGAUCUUUGGUA